UACAGAGGUGGCAAGCGUUGUUCGGAAUUACUGGGCGUAAAGGGCGCGUAGGCGGUCCGAUAAGUCCCGUGUGAAAUCCCUCGGCUCAACUGAGGAAUGGCACGGGAAACUGCCGGGCUUGAGUUCGGGAGAGGGAAGCGGAAUUCCGGGUGUAGCGGUGAAAUGCGUAGAUAUCCGGAGGAACACCGGUGGCGAAGGCGGCUUCCUGGACCGACACUGACGCUGAGGAGCGAAAGCCAGGGGAGCAAACGGG
rnacentral:rRNA from 1 species